AUUGAACGCUGGCGGCAUGCUUUACACAUGCAAGUCGAACGGUAACAGGCCGCCAGGUGCUGACGAGUGGCGGCCGGGUGCGUAAUGCAUCGGAACGUGCCCAGUCGUGGGGGAUCACUACUCGAAAGAGUAGCUAAUACCGCCUACGAUCUCUGGCUGCCAGCGGGUGACCGUAAGGCCUCGCGCGAUUGGACCGGCCGAUGUCAGAUUAGGUAGUUGGGGGGGUAAGGCCUCGCCAAGCCAACGAUCUGUAGCUGGUCUGAGCGGACGACCAGCCACACGGGAACUAGGACACGGCCAAAACUCCUACGGGAGGCAGCAGUGGGAAUUUUGGACAAUGGGCGCAAGCCUGAUCCAGCAAUGCCGCGUGCAGGAAGAAGGCCUUCGGGUUGUAAACUGCUUUUGUACGGAACGAAACGGCUCUGGUUAAUACCCGGGGCUAAUGACGGUACCGAAAGAAUAAGCACCGGCUAACUACGUG
rnacentral:rRNA from 1 species